GUUGUCAUGGCCAAGGGAUGAAGGCGUUGGACUUGGAAUCCAAUGGUGUUCCCCUACACAGCUUCAAGUCUUGCUCACAGCU